UUGUUUCUUUUGGUAAUCUCUUCUCUUUUCGAUGGUGAAGUCAGACUUCUUCAAAUGGUAGUCUUAUUCAAUUCUGGACCUUGGUAAUUGGUCUCCAUUACCCUAUAUAUUUCUUCCACGUCCGAUUGUUCUUAGCAUCAAAAAUGAAUAGCAUUGAAUGUUAACAUUUUAAAUUUCUGAACUGGAUGUUGUAGUAUAUAACGGUGGCAUGUGCUUUACAUUUUUCAUGAAUAGUGGCAAAGUUAACGUUCUGUUUAAUGAAGAUUUGAAAAUAUUAUCGGGUUUAAUAUUUGUGCAUUUGGUUUCUUUUUAUAGGUUUAUUGGGUUUGUGUGGGCGAGUUGGAUGCAGGGAAAUAUUGGAUUAGUUGCAUAAGACAAUAUGAAUUUGGUGUUCUAAAAGUUUUUGGUGUUACUGCUUCUGUGCUCAAAAUGAGGUCUGUGUUUUUAUAUAUUCGUGGAAGUUCUUGUUCUAGAUGAUAAGAAGCUGGGAUGUCAACUUGUCGUUAGAGAAGAUUUGAUUGGCCAAUCUGCAAAUGAUGCUGCUAAGGCUGAGAUGGUUCUAUUAUUUCUGCCUCAAAACAUCUAUUCUAUAUCUAUGUUACUCGUAUGAUUUUGAUUUUAUCAUCUCUUCAUUGAUGACUUCGUACCCAGAGGAAAAGGUUUUCCCUUUUCUAUCUUCAAAGUUUAAGUCUCAGGUCCCAUUGGUAACUAUGAGUGAUUUUCGGAUUUCCAAAGUCUACUAGUAAUUUUCAAGUUUCUACUCAGUAUCAUCUUCUAUGGUUCUUCUUCUUAUUAUACAGUAUUUUUUGUUUUCUUUUCUUUAAUUUUAUCAUUAUAUUUUUGCGGAUAGGGAAACAUAUAAGCCAGAUUAUCAUCAACUUAUAUUCUUAUAUAACAGUUCAGUGCUCUUGGCAUUUAUGAGUGAUAUAAAGUUAUGUUGCUUA